UGAUGUUCUUUAUUCUAUUAUUUAUAGUUUCGUUCCAUCUUCCUUUGUUUCUCCUCCUAUUUAAGUCUCUUCGUCCAAUUUUUGGUGAAACCAAAACCUACUACCUCAACAAAAGAAGAUAAAGUCAUGGCCAUGAAAUCUGUUAGAUUGACCGUGAAGUCUACCUUCGUCUCCGUAAAGUUUCCCGUCUCCGACAGCUCUAUUGACUGUGGCCUUCCUAUGAAGUAUCCAGAGAAACUCCACUGACAAAACACUACAAUUGAUCUUCUUCAUCUGAGUGUCACCGUAAAUAGCUUGAACAUGGCAAAUCCUUUUGUGAUCCGUCAUGAGGAGUGAAUUCGAUUGAGGCAAAACGUUCUUGCUGAGCUUCUUAGGCUUCUAAUCAAGCAUCUUUGGAAACUGGAAGCGAGAAAGAGCCUUUGAAAUAAAUAAUUUUGAUGAUGGUUACUUUGAGCUUGCUUAAUCUGCUGUGGGUACUCCUGGCUACUUUUAGGAACAGAGUGGCAAUGUUGAACCGAGCCCCAUGUCUUCAUCAAGAGUUUUCAUUGACAAGGAUGUGCCUCCGACAAUUGAUUACCUCUCUUGGUUGACUGAGAAGUGAAGACCCAUAUGUUGCUUCCAUGUUUAUUGCAUUAGAGGUCACCAAGGUUGAAACCCUUACUAUAGGUGAGAUCUAUGCCUUCCUCAGACAGGAACCUAUUCAGGUAGUUUGAAAACUGUUACAACACAAAUAAUCAUCAAAAUUUACUAUGAUUAGUGCUUGCUCUUAACCAAAUGCAGGCAACCUUUUUAACUGCAUGCCUUUUAUAACCAUGGAUCCUCAUCAUCAGAUGGCAACUCCACAGUGUCUGUUGGAUACAAUUGGCCAAACUCACAAUGUCAAAGUGAAGAUUUCUGACCGCAGCUUCACUGAAAAAUACCAUAACUGUCUCAAAUGUUGUAUGUCCUCCAGUCUUGCCAGAUGUAAGAACCACCUGUGCAGAUCAGUCACCACAGACAUUAAAGGUGAGCAACUUCCCGGGCCAAUUGUAACAUGUAACUCUGCCUUUGGUGAAACCUUUUACACUGGGUCUUGUUCUGGUGGAAGUGCUCCAACUAAUGACAGUGAAGUGGAGCAGGAAGCCAAGCGUCCAAGAUUUAGUAGCUAAUACCUGUCAAAUCUCAGCUCCAUGUUGCUUUAGUUCUGCCAUUAUCUAUGUCGCUUAAGUUUAUGUACUUCUCUAGGAUUUUCUUCUGCAUAUCUGAACAUAAUCUUUUCGUUUUUUUUUUACCCGUUGGAAAUACAUAACUUACUUUGAGUUGAACUUAUUUUACUUAAA